CUGAAGGUUGUGACUCACCAGUGUCUUGGCAGCUAACGAGGGCUCUUGGCAGACGUUGAUUCUUUUGCUGCCAGAGCUGAUAAGAGCCAGCUAAUUAAGCCAUCAUUCAGACGGAGCCGAAGGGGACAGAACAUCAACUUGAUUAUGUCUAUGCAGUUUUGGAUCUUGGCCUUGCUUAGAUUUGUGUUGAAAACAGUGAGCAACUUGGAGAUCCUGCAGUGUAAGAAUUAUGGAGGAAGGAAGCAAUUUGCCAGCUUUAAUGUCUUUGGCUCUGUAUUUUCUUAACUUUGUUAAUUUUCAGUGGAUUAUGCAUGGAAGAACACAGUCCCCAUUAUGUGCUAGUAGUGACAUGUAUAUACCUUUAUUUUUAGCAUUUAAUUAA